GCAUCGAUGAAGAACGCAGCAAAAUGCGAUAAUUCAUGUGAAUUGUUUGGUUUUGUGAAUCAUUGAAUCUUUGAACGCAUUCGUACUAUUUAGCUUAAAAAACUAAAUGGUGUAUUUGUUCGAGCGCCGAAUACAAUAGUUUCUCAUAAGUUAAUUCGUGUGGGAAAACUGGACUUCGAUAUCUGAUAUCGUUGUUUAAAGAAUCUUUUUGGACUAUAACAGAUGUAGUAAUCUCGUGUAAUUUCGUCUGUUUUAUGGUUCUUUGUCGACCUUAACCACGGCCUCGAAUCAAGUAAGACUACCCGCUGAAUUUAAGCAUAUCAAUAAGCGGAGGA
rnacentral:rRNA from 1 species